AGGUGGGGUAUGUAAUCUCACAUUUCAUACAGUCCCCUAUGAAAUAUAUAUAUAUCCAUCAUAGGGUUUACAAGCAAACACAAACCAUUCAUACCUUGAAGCAUCAGAAUUCAAGUUCACUUCUUUCUUCUAUUAUUUCUUGGAGAUCAUUCUACUGUCAAGAAACAGAACAAGAAUGGGUUUUCGUUUACCUAGUAUUCGACGAUCAUCAUCUAGCAAACAAGUGGAAGUGCCGAAAGGCUAUCUUGCAGUGUAUGUUGGAGAGAAAGCAAGGAGGUUCAUGAUUCCACUAUCAUUCUUGAACGAACCUUUAUUUCUGGAAUUGCUUAGCCAAGCUGAAGAGGAAUUUGGUUACUGUCAUUCAAUGGGUGGUCUUACAAUUCCAUGCAAGGAAGACAUCUUCGUACAUACAACUUCUUGCUUGAACAACCUAUAA